AUGGCGAAGUCCAAGAACCACACCACACACAACCAGUCCCGAAAAUGGCACAGAAAUGGUAUCAAGAAACCCCGAUCACAAAGAUACGAAUCUCUUAAGGGGGUGGACCCCAAGUUCCUGAGGAACAUGCACUUUGCCAAGAAGCACAACAAGAAGGGCCUAAAGAAGAUGCAGGCCAACAAUGCCAAGGCCAUGAGUGCACGUGCCGAGGCUAUCAAGGCCCUCGUAAAGCCCAAGGAGGUUAAGCCCAAGAUCCCAAAGGGUGUCAGCCGCAAGCUCGAUCGACUUGCCUACAUUGCCCAUCCCAAGCUUGGGAAGCGUGCUCGUGCCCGUAUUGCCAAGGGGCUCAGGCUGUGCCGGCCAAAGGCCAAGGCCAAGGAUCAAACCAAGGCCCAGGCUGCAGCUCCACCUUCAGUUCCAGCUCAGGCUCCCAAAGGUGCCCAGGCCCCUACAAAGGCUUCAGAGUAG
rnacentral:lncRNA from 1 species